rnacentral:rRNA from 1 species
UUGUAUAAUGGGUCAGCGACUUAUAUUCAGUAGCAAGGUUAACCGUAUAGGGGAGCCGUAGAGAAAUCGAGUCUUAAUAGGGCGUUUAGUUGCUGGGUAUAGACCCGAAACCAGGCGAUCUAUCCAUGAGCAGGUUGAAGGUUGGGUAACACUAACUGGAGGACCGAACCCACUGUCGUUGAAAAGCCAGGGGAUGACUUGUGGAUAGGGGUGAAAGGCUAAUCAAGCCUGGUGAUAGCUGGUUCUCCCCGAAAGCUAUUUAGGUAGCGCCUCGGACGAAUACCAUAGGGGGUAGAGCACUGUUUCGGCUAGGGGGUCAUCCCGACUUACCAAACCGAUGCAAACUCCGAAUACCUAUGAGUACUAUCCGGGAGACAGACUGCGGGUGCUAACGUCCGUAGUCAAGAGGAAAACAAUCCAGACCGCCAGCUAAGGCCCCAAAAUCAUAGUUAAGUGGGAAACGAUGUGGGAAGGCAUAGACAGCUAGGAGGUUGGCUUAGAAGCAGCCACCCUUUAAAGAAAGCGUAAUAGCUCACUAGUCGAGUCGGCCUGCGCGGAAGAUGUAACGGGGCUAAAACUAUGUGCCGAAGCUGCGGAUGUAUACUUUGUAUACGUGGUAGGGGAGCGUUCUGUAAGCCGAUGAAGGUGUGUUGAGAAGCAUGCUGGAGGUAUCAGAAGUGCGAAUGCUGACGUGAGUAACGACAAAACGGGUGAAAAACCCGUUCGCCGAAAGACCAAGGGUUCCAGUCCAACGUUAAUCGGGGCUGGGUGAGUCGACCCCUAAGGCGAGGCCGAAAGGCGUAGUCGAUGGGAAAAUGGUUAAUAUUCCAUUACUUCUGUGUAAUGCGAUGAGAGGACGGAGAAGGCUAAAUCAGCCUGGCGUUGGUUGUCCAGGUGAAAGGAUGUAGGCAUGUAUCUUAGGCAAAUCCGGGGUACUCUAUGCUGAGAUCUGAUAGCAAGCUGUACUUGUAC